GACGAACGCUGGCGGCGUGCUUAACACAUGCAAGUCGAACGGAAAGGCCCUGCUUUUGUGGGGUGCUCGAGUGGCGAACGGGUGAGUAACACGUGAGUAACCUGCCCUUGACUUUGGGAUAACUUCAGGAAACUGGGGCUAAUACCGGAUAGGAGCUCCUGCUGCAUGGUGGGGGUUGGAAAGUUUCGGCGGUUGGGGAUGGACUCGCGGCUUAUCAGCUUGUUGGUGGGGUAGUGGCUUACCAAGGCUUUGACGGGUAGCCGGCCUGAGAGGGUGACCGGCCACAUUGGGACUGAGAGACGGCCCAGACUCCUACGGGAGGCAGCAGUGGGGAAUAUUGCACAAUGGGCGGAAGCCGGAUGCAGCAACGUCGCGUGCGGGAUGACGGCCUUCGGGUUGUAAACCGCUUUCGCCUGUGACGAAGCGUGAGUGACGGUAAUGGGUAAAGAAGCACCGGCUAACUACGUG
rnacentral:rRNA from 1 species